rnacentral:rRNA from 1 species
GUCUUUUUGAAUUUAAUAUAAAGUCUAGCCUGCCCCCUGAAUAAUUUUAAAAGGCUGCGGUAUUUUGACCGUACAAAGGUAGCAUAAUCAUUAGUUUUUUAAUUGGGAACUUGCAUGAAUGGUUGAAUGAAAAAUUAACUUUUUUUUUAAAAAAAUUGAAUUUUACUUUUUAAUUAAAAGGUUAAAAUUUAUUUAAAAGACGAGAAGACCCUAUAGAGUUUAAUAAUUAAUUUUUUAUUAUUAAAAAAGAUUAUUUUUACUUUUAUAAUUUUAAUUAUUUUAUUGGGGUGAUAGUAAAAUUUAAUUAACUUUUAUUGAUAAAUUACAUUAAUAUAUGAAAAAUUGAUCCAAUAUUAUUGAUUAAAAAUUUAAAUUACCUUAGGGAUAACAGCGUAAUUUUUUUUUAAGUUCAUAUUAAUAAAAAAUUUUGCGACCUCGAUGUUGGAUUAAGAUUUAAUUUUAGGUGCAGCAGUUUAAAAUUUAAGUCUGUUCGACUUUUAAAUUCUU